AAGGGCGCGGCCACGGGGGGAGCUGCUGCGGCGGCACCGGAACAGAGGCGGGAGGCCACGGGUGGAGCUGCGGCGGCGCCGGAGCAGAUGAGUUCCGGCCGCCCCGGCCAUGCGCUGGAGCAGAACGGAGCAAGCGGAGAUCAAUCAAAGGGACUGUCAAAGAGGCUGCAGAGAAGCAAAGGGAGGCAAGAAAGUUUGAAGUUGAAGCCAAGAUGUUUGAGACCUACAACAGGCUACUGUCAGUGGACAAAUCAUUGAUGACUGAUGAGGAGAAGGAAGAUCAUGCUAUCACAAUGAAAUGUUUGAAGAAGCUAUUUCCAGAUUGCAUUUGAGGCCUGCUACGCCACCGGUGGGCAGCCUUACGCCUGGCACGCCGCGCAGGUACAGACGAUGUCCUAGGUUUGGUUUUGUGCAGAAUGUUCCCUACACGGCUGGCGAGCCCGUUGCGGCACCGGAAGGGAAGAGCAAGAGGAAGAGCUCUGGUGCUCCCUCCGUCGGUAAUGCUUCUAGAAGCAGUGAUGGCAGGAGCGAGGAGACAUCAGAUAAAAGAUAUGCUAGUGUCGAGCACAAGGUACUGUGCUGGUCAUUACCUAAAUGCCAUAGCUGGCUGUAGUGUAGCGGUGUUGGGACCGUGUUGGUUUAUUGUGAUUUUGCAAUUUUUGUCUAGCUAUUACCUUCUGCAAAGAGGAGAAUGUCAACCGGUGCAAAUGUGCAAGGUUGGCUCACAUGAUCCGUAGUGCCUACUUGUAAGAUACAAUGCAGUACCUUCCUGUUUUGGUGGGUAUGUGCCUGAGUGCCUGACCACUGUUACCUUUCAAGCGAGCCAUCUCAGGCUGCAACAAUGCAAGAGGAGGUCUGCAGGAAAGCUCUUGGUUUCAACAACUGAAAUGGCAGCAAUUUCCAAUGCAAGACCGAACUUGAACAUUGGACUAGAUCUUUGGAGUAAUUCUCUAGUUAAAGUAGAGACCUCUUGACAGAUUUAGAUAAAUGCAGCAACACCUUCCCAUGACGUCCCUUUGUCACAGAUGCAGGAUGAUGGAGAACUGAAGAGUGAGAGAAGAAAUCAAUCUAACAGAGAGUCAGCAAGGAGAUCAAGACUACGCAAGCAGGUACUGUCAUAGUGUACUCAAUUAGAAUUUUUGGGGUGAUGCUCUGAUCAUAAAUGGUGCGACCAGCAAUACGGAAAAUACUGAUUCUCUACUUUGUUAAGCAUGUAGAAAGGUCUACUGAUCUGUACGAAAAAAUGCUUUAGUUACGUAUGAUUGGCGCACUGUUAUAAUGUCGUAACUCUUAACCUGAAGAUGCUGCGGCUGGCCUAGGAAGGACCUUAACUAGUCUCUUAUCCACCAUAUAUCACCAUGUGGUUAUACAAAUACAUGAAUAUGUAUGAAGAGUCUUGGGUGAGGUGGAUAAAAUCGUAGACAAUUUGAAUUUGCAGAUACUUGGCAGUCCUCUUAACCUGCCAUGAUGUACUGAUUUGGGUAAUUAAGUGUGCCCUUGACCUGCCCUGACCCUCAGACAAUUAUUUUUUUGUGGGAGCGCAUAGAUCUGAACUUCAACAAACAUCUAAUUUGUCUAGGCUGUCGCACCAAUGAGAUUUUCUUGGACAAAUAAAUAAAACAUUUUUUGUAAUUGAUGGUAUUAAUUGUCUUAUACUUGGAGAUAAUUUGGUCAGAACAUUAGAUGUACUAUAAUUAUAUAAUUGAACUCAACAUUGUACAACUUCUUUAAUAAAAAUGUGUAUUUGAUUUCACGUCCUUGUUAUACUAUCCAACAAAAAUGUGAGGAGCUUGAUCAGAAGGUAACUGACCUGGCUGCCAUUAAUGGCUCCCUAAGGUCAGAACUCGACUAGCUUAAGAAGGCCUAUGAAGACAUGGAAGCAGAGAAUUCACAACUAAUGGGUGAAAUGGAACAGGCCGAGGAGCCUAGUGUUGUAACAACUUUGAGCAUGCAUAUUGAGAAGGCAAAGGUGCAUCAUGGGAAGAGUGAUCAACAUCGUUGUAAAAAAGUAGGGGCAUAAAAGGAAUGCACACAUAAACAUCCAUGAAUUCAUGUAGUAGAAUCCAGAUACCCAAACGGCACAAUGCAGAUUUUAAUGUCAAAAAUAGCGGGCUAAGACGUUUUGCAGGUUUUGCAAAAUUGAGUAAUUAAGUUCAGAAUUUAUAUGUUCAAAACAUCAAAUCAAAUAGAUACAAGUCACAAAGUUCAUUACAUCAUACACUGAAAUACUAUGUUUUGUAAAUGAUGGAGUCCAAUAUUGUUAAAAAUAGCAAUGCAUACUUAUGAGAAGCUUCUAGAAGAUUAGAGAGUAUGCAUGAAUAAUGGUUGCCAUCUUCAUGGUAAAAUGUGCAAUACUCUAGAAACUAGAUAUUUGUAUGGUUAGAUAAUCAUUAGAAAAAUUCUAGAGUUAGAUAUUUCGAAGGAAGUGUGCAGAAGAUGGACACAUGACAAAACUAUACGAGCAAUGGAGUCCUAUAAAUAGGGAUGCUUCCCUACCCUCUUGUCAUACUAUGGUAUAAGAGGUCUCAAGUAGAAGAUGGCAAGGUUGUCAUGUAAGAGUAUUGUGUUGUACUAAGUUAUGGUGAAUAAAGAUUUGAGUCUCCAAAUAGAA